UUAACUAAAACCAAAGAUAGAGGUAUUUCACUGUUAAUGAAAUUAUUGAUUAAAAAUCUAGUUAAA
rnacentral:tRNA from 1 species